CUCCUUGAAUCUCCAUUAUGGUGCUUUUAUUGGAUAUAAGCCACCACAAAUCAUUUUCGUACUACCAUUAGGUUAAGCAUGAUUGAUGCUAAUUUUCUUCCUAAUGCAUCUAUCUAGACUGGGUUUCGAACAAUGAUUUGAUUAAGAAAACCAAAAUCCAACAAUAAUUGUGGAGUUAAUAUUAGUGAUUUACCUAUGAGUUUUUGAUCUAAUGGUUUGUAUAGUCCAAGAUCAUUUCAAUAUUGCUCUAUUGAAGCAUUUAGACAAUAUAUUAAACAAGUUAAUAAUUUAGGAAGACUAAUUGUAAUAAGAAGUUAUAUAGAUUGUAACAUUAAACUAAGAGUUAAUGAAAGAUACAAUAUAAGAAAUAGUGUAAACAAUACCUUCCUGAAUAAUUAAUUUAAAAGAAGUUAUAAUUAAAAAUACUAUAGAUAGUCGAAUAUUAACGUUAUUUACAUUUCACUGUUCUCAAUUUAACAAAUCUUGGUUAACAAAAAUACUAUAAUACCUUAAAAAUAAACAUAAGAUAAUACAUAAAAAUGUCCUAUUUAUUAGAAUCUAAAUUCAAGCAGUGGAUUAAAAGAAGUUUAAUUUGAAAUAAGAAUAGUCUUAAUUUAUUAGACAUUUCACAGUUCUAUAAGAAAUUUAAAAAGUAUAACAAAGAAACCAAUUCCUUUCAGAAAAGAAAAAGACAAAGAAACCAUUCGGAGUUUGACUCCGGGUAAAAACAGCAGCACUCGUAAUAAAAACAAUUCAAAAUUAAUUCUGAUAAAAAUUUGACUAUGUUGUAGCUUCUAAACAGAUCAGAUCUCCAGCGAUGUGACGUGUGUGUGUUUGUAUCAGGCAAAUGGUGACACGUCACCACUAAAAAAGUAAAAAAUUAUUAGCGUGAAUAAAUAAUUAAACAAUAAUAAAUAAAUUAAUGGAAAGAACCUGUCCUGCAAGUGCAAUCCAGCGAGACUGGCGACUCUUGUCAAAGCAGCUCUCCAUUUUAGCACCUUCUCUUGAUUCUCCUUAAACUCCUCUUCAUAUUUAGCAAACACUCUCUCAAAAUCUUCUCCUUUCUGCUUCCGCACAUCUGCGGGAUCUACUCCGUAAAAGACGGCGAAAACUUUACGAUCCUUCUUCUUGUUCCCGCACUCAACAAUUUUCGCAAGCUCAUCCAAACACCACGGGGAAGAAGCGUAGUUUUUCGAUAAGAUUACAAUCGAAACAUUGGAUUCUUCAAUUGCUUUCGAGAGCUCUGAUGAAAUCUCGUUUCCUCUGUCCAGUGUUUCGUCGUCCUUAAAUGCGACGAAUCCGUUGCGAAUUAAAGCGGCGUGGAGGUGGUCGGUGAAAUUGUUGCGAGUAUCUUCGCCUCUGAAACUCAAAAAGACGUCGUAUUUGGUUUGAAGAAUUUGAUGAUGAGUGGAAGAAGACGAAGUAUGAGAGGCCGCCAUUUCGAAGGCCUUUGGGAUCUGUGGCUAUUAGAAUUUAGAGAAGCGUUUAAGCAAAUGAAAAGAUUAUAAAAUAAAAAGUAAAAAAUAUGAAGCGGUGUCGGCGAGUUUUCGACAGCGACCUUGGACUGUCUUAGCAAUUUGAUUUGAUAGACCAAAUGACGUCCGAUGACCGUUUUGAGGAUAUCAUCAAUGCAGGGUGUGGACGGCGUGGCACAACGUAAGGGAUUACGUGAGUGAAUGAAAAUAUAAAGGGAUAUUAUUAUUUUUUUAUUAAAUGUAUUUUGACACAUUAAGUUAGUAUUAUUGUUUGGUAAAAUUAUUAAUUUAUUAUUAAAAGUUUAAACUGUUAGUAUUUUUUUAUUAUUUUGUUAAAAUUCAGUUAAUAUGUAAUAAAAAAUUUAUAAAAUGUCAAUUUUAUUCCUAAAACGUAAAAGACCAUGUAAUUAACCUUGAGCUUAUAAAAUUGAGUUUUUGCUUUAUCUCAUCAACAAGUUGAGUUUUAUGUGAUUUAAGAUUAAAAUAUUAAUCAAACUACAAAAUUAUGUCAUUUAAGAAAUUAUAUUUAAGUACUUAAUUAAAUUUUAGUUAACCAACAAGUGACUUAAAUUUAAGACUCUAGUUGAUCUCUCAUUUGAGAAUGUUAAUUCACUUACUUAGCAUUAUGUGGUAUUUUCUUUGAAGAUUUUGAAUUGUUUGAUGGUUGUGAGAGUAAAAUUUAAAAUAAUAAAAACUAAUAUAAUUAUCAUGUUAAUGUAAUGGUCUGAGUUUUAAAAAAUUUUAAAAAUAAAUAUUUUUUCCGUGUGAAAAGGUUUGAAAAAAGGUUUAUUCAACUAAAUAUUAUUUGGUCCCUAUCAUUUUUAAAGUUUAAUAUCUUACCACAAAAUUAACAUAUUUUUUAUUAAGCAUUAACUCCUCAAAAAAUUAAAUCCUAUGGCAUUUCGCUCCAAAAUUUCCAAUUCUUAAUUUGCCCUAACCAGAGGACCCAAUCCAUUUUUUUUUAUUUUCUCCUAAAGAUUAUUUGGAUGUGAAUAAAAAACUCAUCCACUAAAUUCGUGUGAUAAUUAUAUGGUCUUUUACGCUCUAGGGGUAAAAUUGAUCUUUUAUGAAUUUUUUGUUACAUAUUAACUGAGUUUUAACAGAAUGGUGGGAAAAUACUAACAGUUUAAACGUUUGGUGGUAAAUUAAUGGUUUUACCAAACCGUGGUACUGACAUGAUGUGUCAGAAUACCUUUGGUGGGAAAAUGAUGAUAUUCCAAAUAUAAAUAAAUAAAAUAGGGAGGGUUUUUGUAAUUUAAUUUUUUUUUAUUUUAAAUUGUGAUAUAAAAUUUGAGUGAUUGAUUUUAUAUUAUUUAAUACUAAAUAUAAAAAAUCAAAAUAAUAUAUAAUAAUAUUAAUUCAUCUAUCAUUAGAUUAUAUAAAAUUAAUGACUUAAAAUUUAUAUCAAAAUUUAAAUAAAUAUUCAAAAUAAUAUAUAACCCGAGUAAAAUAAAAGAAAACGACGAAUGCACAAUAACGAUUUUGUAUAACAAUUUGAAGUAUAACUACGGUGCAUCUAAUACACUAUAUAUCCGUUAUUUUAUUAUUAUUAUUAUUAAUUCUUUAUUAUUGUAAAUAAUUAAUCCAUUAUAUAUGUGUUUUAUGUUCUUUUGCCAUGUAUGCUAAAGAAAAUUCAAUACAUCUAAUGUUAAAUUACAUUCCUUUAAUGAAUAAUUUAUUCUGGACAACUAAAAUUUAUUUGAGAUGUUAGUUGAUGCAGUUCAAUAAAAUUAAUAAUUUGAUAGAUUAUAUUAAGAGAAAUUUUAAAAUACAUCAGAGAGUUACCAUGUCAGUCAUAUAAUAAAUAAAAAAUAUUAUAAAUUACAUAUUUUUGUUUUUAAAAAUUAUCAUAUAAGUAGUGGUUAUAUUAAAUUUCUCCUAGAUUAAAUAGUUUUAAUUAGAGAAAACCCCUUGAGCAAUGUUUUCUCUGAUGAUGUUGGUUUUGAUGAGGAAGCCUUAUGCUUUGAAAUGCGGCUUACUAGAGCGGUGGGUUUAUCUCCACUAAUAGUUGAGUUAGAUUCAUUUUGUAUGGUUCAAUUAAUUUUGGAUUGACGCAGUACUUGUACUGAGUGUCUGAGUUAUUCUAACUUAUUUCUUAAGUGAAGCAUUUACUCUCUCUAAAGCGUUCUUUCAAGUUAGACAUAUCUAAGGAGUUUGUAAUAAAGCAGCGGAUUUAUUAACAAAAUAUUCUAUCAAUUGUUUAGUUUCUUAUGUUUAGUUGGAAGAAUUUCAACCGUAUCUGUGUUUUUGUCUUUAAGACUAAUAGUCCUGAUGUUACAAAUAAUGUAAUAAAUGAAGUCAAAAUCCUCCACCUGUUCUCUGACCAAUUGGGUGGGGUUUGUUAAUUGGUUAGUAUAAUCAGUCAUCAGUUACAGACUCACAGUACGAGUAGCCAAUUUUUUUGUUAACAAUAAUAUGGAUGUAAAAGACUCCUAUAUUUAUUUUUAAGGUAUUCUAGUAUUAUUAUUAACUCAUAUCUGCUAAGUCAAGAACAACAAAAUGUAAAUAAUGAUAACAUUAAACUAUUUAUAAUAUUUCUAAUUAUAGCUUCUUCUAAAUUAAUCAUUCAGGAAUAUAUUUUCUAUACUAUUUCUUGUAUUUUAUCCUUCAUUAAAUGUUACUUACAUUCUUCUAUUUGCUACAACUCUUAGUUUAAUACUACAAUCUUUAUGACUUCCUAUUACGACUAGUCUUCUUAAAUUAUCAACUUGUUUAAUAUAUUCACAAAAUGCUUUAAUAGAACAAUUUUAUAAAGUAAAACAAGUAUAAUUAUCUAAAGGCAUGCAAGCAAAUUUUAAUUAAAAAAAUUGUUAUAAGCAGUUGUUCUUCUCUACUAGAUACUUCCAGAUUCUUUUAUAAACUUUCGAUAAAUUUCUUAAAUAACAGGUUUUGUCAACAAUAUUUACCACAUUCGUAAAAAGAAAAAAAAGUUGAAAAACUAUUUUGUAACAGUUCAGAGUAUAAAAUUAAACUUUUUUAUUAAAACAAAAGUUUUUGAAACAACCUUCUCCCUAUUUGGGGCAUGGAAAUCUCAAUACAAAACCUCCCUUUUUCUUUCAAAUGCCUAUCCUUCGGCUAAAAUGGUGCUUAGGAGCAAAAUUGUACACUCAAAGGCCAUUUUUUAAGGCUUUAGAUUUUUCUGAAAACCUAAAUUUUGUUCUAUAGUCUAAUCUUAUUCUUUACACAUAGAAAACAUUCUUUAAAUACAGAUAAAAGGUAAAAGAUUUGCAACAUAUAAACUUGUUCUUUUAUAAACAUAUAGAAGUUUACAAAAGAUUGAGUUUCUUUAUUAGAGAAGAACUAAGUAACUUAGUUGCAAUACAUUAUGCUGAAUAAAACUAACUUACGUCUAAUGACUUUUAGGAAAUUGAACAAGUGCCUUGGAACUUCUACAAAUUAAAUUUUGCUACAAGAUUUUUUUUUUUUAUCUUAUAAUCCUCCCUAAAGGAAAACAACUCCUAUUUAUAGAGUUCCUAAAAGCCUUUAUUCUUAUCUCUUGCUUUCCACGUGAAUGGACCAAAUUUUAGGGAGUCUGUCAUCCAUUGAGAAAAAGAUGUUGUCUUUAAGUCCACGCAAAAAAGUGAGUAUCGACAGAAUUAUCACCGUGACCUUUUCUUUUUAAAGUUGUACUUUAAAAAGGUAGUGAGUGAUGGUGAUUAAUUGGAGAGUGGACCACUACCGAGUCAAGGUUAUAACAUGUUGUCAAGGUUAUGGGCCUCAAUACCAUCUAAAUCGUUGUAGAAGUUUCUACCUUCAUCUUCUUCUUCACUUGAUUUAUCUUUUAUAAGAGAUUUGUAGGCCUUGAUAUCUUCUUUGUAUUGCUCUCGAUAGAAAUCUACAAGUUGAUAAUUUGUGGUCUUUGAAAGAAAAAGGAUUUCGGGUACAUCUUGGCAAGAGUAUAUCUUUUGAUUAAAAUCUUUAGCAAUCAAUUUAGAAUGACCAGUAAAUUCUCAAAUCUCAAAUUCCCUUUCUAUUAUUCUAGUUUUCCAAUGACUAAUCUACUUGGUUAAAGAAUUAGUUGUGUAGAUCCAAAGAAUAUUCAAACCUUUUAAGUUUUCAAGUUCUUUAAUGUUGUUAGAUCCCUUAAGAAAAAAUAUGAAUGUUGGGAUUGGAACUCAUAAUAUACAUCUCCUUGAAUCUUCAAGUUCUUUAAUGUUGUUAGAUCCCUUAAGAAAAAAUAUGAAUGUUGGGAUUGAAACUCAUAAUAUACAUCUCCUUGAAUCUCCAUUCUGGUGCCUUUUAUUGGAUAUAAGCCACCACAAAUCAUUUUCGUACUACCAUUAGGUUAAGCAUGGUUGAUGCUAACUUUCUUCCUAAUGCAUCUAUCUAGACUGGGUUUCAAACAAUGACUUGAUUAAGAAAACCAAAAUCCAACAAUAAUUGCGGAGUUAAUAUUAGUGAUUUUUCUCUGAGUUUUCGUUCUAUUGGUUUGUAUAGUCCUAGAUCAAUUCAAUAUUGUUCUAUUGAAGCAUUUAAAGAAUAUAUUAAACAAGUUAAUAAUUUAGGAAGACUAAUCGUAAUAAGAAGUUAUAUAGAUUGUAACAUUAAAUUAAGAGUUAUAACAAAUAUAAGAAUAGAAGUAGCAUUUAAUGAAAGAUACAAUAUAAAAAAUAGUGUAGACAAUAUAUUCCUGAAUGAUUAAUUUAGAAGAAGUUAUAAUAAGAAAUACCAUAGAUAGUCAAAUAUUAACAUUAUUUACAUUUCGCUAUUCUCAAUUUAAUAGAUCUGAGUUAACAAUAAUACUAUAAUACCUUAAAAAUAAACAUAAGAUAAUACAUAAAAAUAUCCUAUUUAUUAGAAUCUAAAUUCAAGUAGUCAAGGGAUUAAAAGAAGUUUGAUUUGAAAUAAGAAUAGUCUUAAUUUAUUAGACUUUUCACAGUUCUAUAAGAAAUUUAAAAAGUAUAACGAAGAAACCAAUUCUUCUUAGAAAAGAAAAAGACAAAGAAACCCAUUCAGAGUUUGACUCUGGGUAAAAACAACAGCACUCGUAAUAGUAACAAUUCAAAAUAAAUUCUGAUAAAAAUUUGACUAUGUUGUAGCUUCUAAACAGAUCAGAUCUCCAGCGAUGUGACGUGUGUGAGUUUGUAAUAGACAAUUGGUGACACGUCACUACUAAAUAACCAAAAAUUAUUACCAUGAAUAAAUAAUUAAACAAUAACAAAUAAAUUAAAGGAAAGAACCUGGGACGAUAGAUAAUUAAUUGAUUUUACUGAAUAGGGCUAUGGUAAAGUGCGCUGACAAAACCUCUCAACUGCCACCGGCGGCUGACCAUUCUACCGAGAAAGCAAAGUUUAAGGCUCAAGGGGCGGAUGGGGAUAACCCAUCUCCUCUGUCUUUCCGUGAUAUGCUAAUGGAUAUGCAAGAGCAAUCGGGUUGGGAAUUUUGGCCGGAAGGAUGAUUGGGAGUUGGAGGAGGAUGAUGUGACGUUCAGGGAGGAGGAACCUGUGCCAUUCAUAGCAUUCUCAAGCAGAGUUCAUGAACGGUUAGUGGAACCUUGGGAAAACUCAGUGGUGGUCAAAAUAUUAGGACGUAACUUGGGGUAUCGUGUUCUCAGUUCUCGGUUGAACAGGAUCUGGAGUUCUACCAUAGGGUUUGAAAUAAUUGAUUUAGGUAAUGAUUAUUUCUUGAUCCGUUUCAAUAAUAAAAAGGAUGUGGAGUAUGCCCUUACUGAGGGACCAUGGACGUUGAUGGGGCAUUAUUUAUCAGUACAGAAAUGGUCUCCAGACUUUGAUGUGGUUAAUAAUAAAAUCGACCGCAUCGUGGCUUGGAUCCGUCUGUCUGAGAUGAAUAUUCAAUUUUAUCAUAAAAGUAUUAUCCGGCGGCUAGGGCACAUUAUUAGUCCAGUCAUCAAAAUUCACUAUAACACAAUUAUGGCACAGAGAGGCAAAUUUGCUCGUCUUGCAGUUGAAUUGGAUCUUCCGAAGCCUCUAGUGUCACAGUUUAAUCUUGAAGGAAGAAUUCAAAAAGUGGAAUAUGAAAAUUUGCCAAUGAUUUGUUUCGGUUGUGGUAAAUUUGGCUACUUCAAAUAUGCAUGUUUUGAUAGUGCCGACAUUAACAACAUGGCCAAGGACAAUCCAGCCCCUCCUACGGAGACUGAGGGACAAGCCGUUGUGGUGGCUGAAGCAUCUGACUGCCGGGAGCCUAAGUUUGGAUCGUGGAUGAUGGUGGCCCGCCAGCCGCGCCCUCGUAAAGUCUUAGUUAAGGAUAAUGCUAAAAAUCCAGAUAAGGAUCGACACAUGCCAAAGACUAGCCAGUCUCGGUUUGGUGUUUUGGAAGACUUGGAUAUUGAGGAUAAGAUCUCUCAAGAUCAUAAUACAGACCCCGGUUCUCAACGGGAACCUAUGAUGCCUAUAUCGGAAAGUAUCCAAAUCCUAGCCCCAAAACCUCGGAGUAUGAAAAAGAAAAACCCUAGUCAACACACCCGAAAAUACCCCCCUCGCAAAGCUUCCAUCACUAUUCUUUCAAGUCAACCCGUAACUGAGAAUAUUGACCCCAAUAUUCAAAUUCCCACCAAUUAUUCCCACCAAAAUAACCAACCCCCAAUCAUGCAUGGCAUGCAUGCUCACCCUAAAUUUUCCAUGUCCGAUUCUUCUGCUCCAUCUAAUGCCGCUUCCACUUCCAUGCAUGGUAUGCAUGUUUAUCAACAGUAUACCCAAAAUAAUCCAGGCCCAUUUCCAGUACCCAUCACCCUUAACCCUCUUCACCAUAGUGCCGUAUCCUUUCCCAAGACUUUUUCCCCGAAGGCAAUUAAUCAUCCCCCCUCUCAACCUGUUUGUGACCCCUCUCUUGUUGGUGAACCACCUGACAAGGGCAUUCCGCAUGAUCUUUACAUUAUGGAAGCCAUUGUUGAGCCUGAAGACUUCCCAGUUGCAAGCAGGAGUGGCUCUCCUUUGUCUGCCAAUGAUAUCUUAUUUGUUGUUGAUUCUGGCAUGGAAGUUGAGGUUGAGGCUUUGGAGUCCUCUCAGUAAUUCCACUUGUUUCAUUUUCCAAUAUUUCUUAUGUUUAUUAAGACCAUGUUUUGGAAUUCUCAAGGUGCAGCGUCACCAUCUUUUCGUCGUUCCUUUUCAGCUUUAGUUCAAAAUUACAAGCCUUCCCUGGUUGUGUUGAUGGAGCCCCGUAUUAGUGGUUAUAAGGCUGAUCAUUUUAUUAAAAGAAGUGGUUUUGACAAAUCUUACUGGGUGGAAGCAGAGGGAUUUUCUUGUGGCAUUUGGGUCAUCUGGAAAGAUCUUUUUCAGGUGGAGAUUGUUGCUAGCCAUUCUCAGUUUGUUCAUCUUCGAAUUUCCAACAACAAUAAUGUUCUCUCUUGGUUGACAGCUAUUUAUACAAGCCCUAACCCAAUCUUAGAAAAUAUCUUUGGAGUGAGCUAGAUAAUUUAGCUCAAACGGUUUAUGGUUCCUGGAUUUUGGGUGGGGACUUCAACAUUAUUUUGUAUGAUUCGAAAAAGAAAUGUGGCUCCCCUACAAGCAUGGGAGCUUGCACUCUUUUCCAGUCUUGGUUCCACCUUCACAACAUGCCUGAUCUUCAAUUUCAUGGGCCCCGUUUUACUUGGUCUCAUGGAAGCCUAUUUAAAUGCCUUGAUCGCGUCAUUUGCAAUAAUGAGUGGGCUCGUACCUUUUCCAAUUCUUAUGUGCUUCAUCUUCCGAAAUUGAACUCUGAUCACAGACCUAUCCUGGUGCGAAGUACUGAUUUUUCUUCAAGAGUUUUGAGCUCUCAUCCUUUUCGGUUUCAAGCGGCUUGGCUUACCAAUGAAGGAUUCAAAGAUUUCGUGUCUGAAUCCUGGGAUCGGAAUCUUCAUUACUUAGAUGCUGCUAAUCAAUUUCGUCUUAAGGUUAUUGAAUGGAACAAGCGGUGUUUUGGGAAUAUAUUUUGGAGGAAAAAACGUUUAUUGGCUCGGCUGGGAGGGAUACAACGGGCUUUAGAAAGUUAUUACUCUAAGGGGUUAUUAAAUCUUGAAAAACAAUUAAAAGCGGAUCUGGAAGAGGUGCUCACUCAAGAGGAAAUUAUUUGGCAUCAGAAAUCUCGGAGAGACUGGCUGCUUCUCGGUGAUCGUAAUAUAUCUUACUAUCAUCAUAAAACUCUUUCUAGAAGGAGACAAAAUAAUAUAGCUGCCAUCCAAAAUAAUGCAGGGAUUUGGCUUUAUAAGGAAGUGGAAAUAAAAGCUCAUGUCAUUCAGUUCUACUCAACUUUGUUCUCCUGUGAAUCUCCUGACCUUCGGCAUUACCCCCAUCCGAAUUAUUUUCCUCUUAUCGAGGAUGACUUGCUCCAUACCUUAAAUAAGGGCGUGGAGGAUGCUGAGAUUCAACAAACCAUCUUCGGCAUGCACCCUCUGAAAGCCCCGGGACCUGAUGGUCUCCAUGCCUUUUUUUAUCAGACGCAGUGGAACACUGUGGGCUCUCCUCUGUGUCAUUUGGUGAAAGAUGUAUUCCACGAUAAAUAUCUUCCUGUGGGGCUCAAUUCCACGCUGAUUGCUCUCAUUCCCAAGACAGAAAGCCGUUCCUCAUUGAAGAUGUACCGUCCUAUCUCCCUUUGCAAUGUUGCUUAUAAGACUAUCACCAAGGUGCUGGCUAAUCGCCGUCAAUCUAUUUUACCCUCUCUGAUUGGCCCCCAUUAAACUAGCUUCAUCCCUGGUCGUCAUAUCACGAAAAACAUCGUGAUUGCUCAAGAGGUUGUGCACUCUAUGCGCAAGAAGAUGGACUCUACUGGUUUUAUGGCUAUAAAAGUUGAUUUAGAAAAGGCUUAUGAUCGUCUCAGUUGGGAAUUCAUCAGUGAUACUCUGCGUGAAGCUCGAAUUCCUUCCGAUCUUAUUCAAGUAAUUAUGGCAUGCAUCACUUCGACUACUAUGAGGGUUUUGUGGAAUGGGGAGGCUACGAAUGAAUUUUCUCCUUCCCAAGGAAUUCGUCAGGGCUGUCCAUUAUCUCCUUAUCUCUUUGUCCUUUGUAUCGAACGGCUCAGUCAUGGGAUUCACAAUGCCAUUAGUGCUGGGAAAUGGCGUCCGAUCAUGUUAUCUCGCCAUGGCACACUUUUAUCUCAUCUCUUUUUUGCUGAUGAUCUUCUUUUGCUUGCAGAGGCUACGGUUGAGCAAGCUAGAGUUAUUUCAGCAGUGUUAGCAAAUUUUUGUGUUUGCUCUAAUGCCAAAGUUAAUACAAGUAAAACUCUUCUUUAUUUUUCAAAGAACAUGGGUGCUAAAGAUGUCUCCACAAUUUCGGGUCUACUUGGCUUCUCAGUUACUUCUGAUCUUGGUAAAUACCUUGGGGUCUCUCUUCAUCAUUCAAGGGUCUCUACCAAUAUGUAUUAAGAGAUCAUUGAUAAGGUGGAGAAGCGGUUGUCGGGUUGGAAUGCCUCUCACUUGUCCUUGGUUGGUUGUAUCACUCUAGUUCAGUUAGUUCUCCAGGCAAUUCCCAUUUAUGUUAUGCAGACUGUUUCCCUUCCUCGUGGUGUUUGUGAGAGAAUUGAUAGAGCUUGCAGGAGGUUUAUUUGGAGCGGUUCGUCUCCUCAGCAGAAGCUCAACAUGGUUAGUUGGAAGAAUGUGUGCAAGCUACUGGCGGUCUUGGCUUCAAGUCUUUGGCAAUGAUGAAUCGGGCAUUACACAUGAAGCUAGCUUGGGACAUAAUCUCCUCUCCAAAUAGUUUAUGGGUCCAGGUCUUUAUUUCCAAGUACAAAGUCGAUCCUCAUAACUUGCCUCCCGUUCUUCCAACACGCUAUGGCUCUCACUUGUGGAAGUCUCUUGGGUAGGUUUGGAGCGAGGUUCUUGCGAGCAGGCGCUGGAGUUUGGGUGAUGGACAAUCUGCUCGUUUUUUGUGGGAUCUUUGGGUUACUGAUAAUGUUCCCUUAAUCGCCUACGCAACAAAUACUAUACCUGUGGGAAUUUUGGAAUGUAAGGUGGCAGAUUUUGUUAAUGUAAAUGGGGCUUGGUGUUGGUCCCGGUUUGAUCGCUAUCUUCCCAACCAUAUUAUUCUCCAAAUAGCUGCUCUUCAUCCCCCUUCUCACGUGAAAGGCAUGGACACUAUAUUUUGGGCUCAUUCGAAACACGGAGCUUUUUCUACAAGCUCUGCGUAUUUGGCUCUCUCUGAGUAUAAUCCAAAGUCUGAAGAUAGAGAUUGGAAGUUAGUCUGGACAUGGAAAGGCCCUCAAAGCGUGAGAAUUUUCUUGUGGCAGGCGUUUCACGCUGGUUUGAAAACUAAGGCUGAGUUGGCUCGGCGGCACUUACCCACCUCGCCUCGUUGUGAUCGUUGUGGGGCUAUGUGUGAAGAUAUUACUCAUGCUCUACGUGAUUGCUGGUUGGUUAAGCAGUUUUGGCUCAACAUUAUUCAUAUAAGUAAACGACAUAACUUCUUUAAUUCUUAGCUUAAUCUAUGGCUCUGCUUGUGGCUGAUAAUAGUAAGGUGGGGAAUGUUUCGAAUUGGGCUGUUUUUUUUUUUUUUUUUGCGUCGCGUUAUGGAGGAUCUGGUAUUGGCGAAAUCAGUUUCUCUUUAGCAAAUUGAUGUUGGACCCUUUGGCUUUGUUGGUGGAUGUUCAUACAAGAGCCGAGGAGAUUCACAAGCUUCAUAACCCACCUGUUGAUUACUAGGAAUAUUAGGGCUCACAAGUGAAUUUCUUGGCAUCCUCCUGAGUGGCCCUGGUGUACUCUGAGUACGGAUGGUGCUCACAAGUCUCACGGGACUUCCACUGCAGGUGGUUUAAUUCGGGAUCAUUUAGGACGUUGGCUAACAGGCUUUGGGAUGAUGAUUGGUUCUUGCUCUGUUACUGUCGCGGAGCUAUGGGGCUUGUAUCAAGGGAUUCAGCUUGCAUGGAAUUCUGGCAUCCGCAGAUUGAAAGUUGAAACGGAUAGCCUAUGCAUUACUCAAUUGGUGGCUAGACCUUCGGUGUUGACCAAUGAAUAUGCUCCCUUAGUCCAGUCUAUAAAAGAUUAUCUCAAAUUAGAUUGGCAUGUUUCCAUCUCUCAUAUCUAUAGAGAAACAAAUUUUGUUGCAGAUUAUAUGACGAACCUCGCCUUUUCUAUUUUGCUAGGCCUUACUGUGUACCCUUCCCCUCCUUUGGGCGUUAGGGCUCUAUUAUUGCAUGACUCUUACAGGGUUUCUCACCCCAUUCGUUGUUCUCUAGCUCUUUUUAGAGCUCCAGUUAAUCAAAAAAAAAAAUAUUGAAGGAAAGAACCUGUCCUGCAAGUGCCAUCCAGUGAGACUGGCGACUCUUGUCAAAGCAGCUCUCCAUUUUAGUACAUUCUCAUGAUUCUCCUUAAACUCCUCUUCAUAUUUAGCAAACACUCUCUCAAAAUCUUCUCAUUUCUGCUUCCGGACAUCCGUCGGAUCUACGCCGUAAAAGACGGCGAAAACUUUACGAUCAUUCCUCUUGUUCCCGCACUCAAAAAUCUUCGCAAGCUCAUCCAAACACCACGGGGAAGAAGCGUAGUUUUUCGAUAAGAUUACAAUCGAAACAUUGGAUUCUUCAAUUGCUUUCGAGAGCUCGAUGAAAUCUCGUUUCCUCUGUCCAGUGUUUCGUCGUCCUUAAAUGCGACGAAUCCGUUGCGAAUCAAAGCGACGUGGAGGUGGUCGGUGAAAUUGUUGCGGGUAUCUUCGCCUCUGAAACUCAAAAAGACGUCGUAUUUGGUUUGAAGAAUUUGAUGAUGAGUGGAAGAAGACGAAGUAUGAGAGGCCGCCAUUUCGAAGGCCUUUGGGAUCUGUGGCUAUUAGAAUUUAGAGAAGCGUUUAAGCAAAUAAAAAGAUUAUAAAAUAAAAAGUAAA
rnacentral:lncRNA from 1 species